CAAGUCGAGUGGGUUAGACCCACGGCGAACGGGUGAGUAAUACCUAGGAACUUUCUUUAAGUGGAGCAUAACCAGUCGAAAGAUUGGAUAAUACUUCAUGUGGCCGUAAGGCUAAAGCAGCAAUGCGCUUAAAGUGAGGCCUGGGCACCAUCAGCUAGUUGGUAAGGUAAUGGCUUACCAAGGCUAUGACGGUUAGGGGCCCCGAGAUGGGAGACCCCCACACUGGAACUGCGACACGGUCCAGACUCCUACGGGAGGCAGCAGUUUGGAAUUUUGGACAAUGGGCGAAAGCCUGAUCCAGCGACGCCGCGUGGACGAUGAAGGCCUUCGGGUCGUAAAGUCCUUUUGCUCGGGAACAAUAUUUUGAGCGUACCGAGAGAAUAAGAGGUUGCUAACUCUGUGCCAGCAGCAGCGGU
rnacentral:rRNA from 1 species